AAUCAACGCUGGCGGCAUGCCUAACACAUGCAAGUCGAGUGAGAAAGGGUAGCAAUACCUGAGUAAAGCGGCGCACGGGUGAGUAACACGUGGAUAACCUGCCUCAAAGUGGGGAAUAACACCGGGAAACCGGUGCUAAUACCGCAUAUUCUGACGAGAUCUGUGGAUUUUGUCAGGAAAGGAGCAAUUCGCUAUGAGAGGGGUCCGCGGCUGAUUAGCUAGUUGGUGAGGUAAUGGCUCACCAAGGCCACGAUCAGUAGCCGGUCUGAGAGGACGGUCGGCCACACUAGAACUGAGACACGGUCCAGACUCCUACGGGAGGCAGCAGUAGGGAAUUUUUCGCAAUGGGGGCAACCCUGACGAAGCAAUGCCGCGUGGAUGAUGAAGUAUCUCGGUACGUAAAAUCCUUUCGACGGGGACGAAGCCGCAAGGUUGACGGUACCCGUAGAAGAAGCCCCGGCUAACUCCGUGCCAGCAGCCGCGGUAAUACGGGUGGGGCAAGCGUUGUUCGGAAUUACUGGGCGUAAAGGGUGCGUAGGCGGCUUUCUAAGUCGGAUGUGAAAACUCUGGGCUCAACCCAGAGCCUGCAUCCGAAACUGGAGAGCUAGGGUUCUGGAGGGGAAAGCGGAAUUCCUGGUGUAGCGGUGAAAUGCGUAGAUAUCAGGAGGAACACCGGUGGCGAAGGCGGCUUUCUGGACAGAUACCGACGCUGAGGCACGAAAGCUAGGGGAGCAAACAGGAUUAGAUACCCUGGUAGUCCUAGCCCUAAACUAUGGAUACUUGCUGUGGGGGGGAUUGAAGCCCCUUGUGGCGAAGCUAACGCAUUAAGUAUCCCGCCUGGGGAGUACGGUCGCAAGGCUG
rnacentral:rRNA from 1 species